GGGGUUGUAACUCAGUGGUAGAGCAUUUGUCUUGCAUGCAUGAGGCAUUGGGUUCAAUCCUCAACACCA
rnacentral:tRNA from 1 species